AAAAUUAACCCACUAUCCCUACCUCUUUCAUAAUAAUCAGAAUUAUUAGCACUUAAUUAAAACUAUUAGUAAUUAAUCAGUGCAUAUUUUGUUCCAGAUUAUACCUCACAGUGAAAGUGGUGAUGAAUUCUUCUGCUUUUUCCUUUGUCCCCUGGUGAAGCUCAGUCCAACAUAAAGGUCUUGUCCCAUGGGACUUGCUGAACAAAGUAUCAAGUGUCAGUGCAGGGCUCCAGAAAGGAUGUGAUAAGAAUGUUACUUGCUUCUUAAUCUCAUAGGAUAAGGCUCAUUUGGGAUCAACUCCUUUCUGUGAAGUUUUUUCUCUGCUAUCUGGUGAGUCCUUUCUAUUAGAGUUAUUCCCAGUUAAACUUCAUUUAUGCCAUCAUAACUUUUC
rnacentral:lncRNA from 1 species